GGCCAUCAGAUACCGCCCUAGUUCUGACCGUAAACGAUGCCAACUAGCGAUCCGCCAGUCGACUCAUCGCUCUGGUGGGGAGCUUCCCGGAAACGAAAGUCUUCCGGUUCCGGGGGAAGUAUGGUUGCAAAGCUGAAACUUAAAGGAAUUGACGGAAGGGCACCACCAGGAGUGGAGCCUGCGGCUUAAUUUGACUCGACACGGGGAAACUCACCCGGCCCGGACACCGUAAGGAUUGACAGAUUGAUAGCUUUUUCAUGAUUCGGUGGAUGGUGGUGCAUGGCCGUUCUUAGUUCGUGGAGCGAUUUGUCUGGUUUAUUCCGAUAACGAGCGAGACUCUGGCCUACUAAAUAGUUGACGCAUUGCCACUGUGCGCACAACUUCUUAGAGGGAUUUUCGGUGUUUUCAACCGCACGAAAUUGAGCAAUAACAGGUCUGUGAUGCCCUUAGAUGUCCGGGGCUGCACGCGCGCUACACUGGCAAACGCAACGUGCCUGUCCUGCCCCGAAAGGAGCGGGUAAACCCCUGAAAUUUUGCCGUGAUUGGGAUCGGACAUUGCAACUAUUGUCCGUGAACGAGGAAUCCCUUGUAAGGGCGAGUCAUCAACUCGUCCUGAAUACGUCCCUGCCCUUGUA
rnacentral:rRNA from 1 species